rnacentral:rRNA from 1 species
GAGAAAUUUGGAUUAAUCCUCUAUAGUCUAUUAAUAUAGCAUUAUAUAAAUAGUAAAGGUUACGGUAUAAGAUGAGUAUGCGUCCUAUUAGUUAGUUGGUAAGGUAACGGCUUACCAAGACUACGAUAGGUAGGGGCCCUGAGAGGGGGAUCCCCCACACUGGUACUGAGACACGGACCAGACUCCUACGGGAGGCAGCAGUGAGGAAUAUUGGACAAUGGAGGUAACUCUGAUCCAGCCAUGCCGCGUGCAGGAAGACUGCCCUAUGGGUUGUAAACUGCUUUUAUACAGGAAGAAACACCCCUACGUGUAGGGGCUUGACGGUACUGUAAGAAUAAGGAUCGGCUAACUCCGUGCCAGCAGCCGCGGUAAUACGGAGGAUCCAAGCGUUAUCCGGAAUCAUUGGGUUUAAAGGGUCCGUAGGCGGGUUUAUAAGUCAGUGGUGAAAGUUUGCGGCUCAACCGUAAAAUUGCCAUUGAUACUGUAGAUCUUGAAUUAGUGUGAAGUGGUUAGAAUAAGUAGUGUAGCGGUGAAAUGCAUAGAUAUUACUUAGAAUACCAAUUGCGAAGGCAGAUCACUAACACUAUAUUGACGCUGA